rnacentral:rRNA from 1 species
UACGUAGGGUGCGAGCGUUGUCCGGAAUUAUUGGGCGUAAAGAGCUCGUAGGCGGUCUGUCGCGUCGAUCGUGAAAACUUGGGGCUUAACCCUGAGCUUGCGGUCGAUACGGGCAUGACUGGAGUUCGGCAGGGGAGACUGGAAUUCCUGGUGUAGCGGUGAAAUGCGCAGAUAUCAGGAGGAACACCGGUGGCGAAGGCGGGUCUCUGGACGACUCCUGACACUGAGGCACGAAAGCCGGGGGAGCAAACAGG